UGAAAUUAAAAAUCCCCCCCCUUUUUUUUCCUCUUGAAGUCAAAUCCUGGAGAUAUGGAAAGAAUAGGGGUCAUCUAAGAGUCUCCUUUCGCGCAUACACACAUCUUCUGCUUUCUUCCUAAAAGUUACCAACCUGUAAGAGUAUCAAAGUCGCUAUACUUCAUUCUUGAUUUUCUUUUGAGUGCUUUUUUUUUUUUAAGCCUUCCUUUUCUCAUCCCAAUCCUUCCCUUUCCGUACACUCCCUCCAGGACCUCCCCUCCCCCCAGCCACCAGCAGUUAAAAUAAUCCACCUCUUAGUUUUCGGGCCCCCAAACCGACCUUUUCCCCACUCCAGCGGCCAGUUUACCGAGAUCUUUUCCUGAGGAUGGAGGCCCAGGUGGAUCCGGGAAAUAUAUGCUGUAGUGUUAUGUUUCGAGUUUCUUUUCUGCCUUCCGAUAUCUGUUAUUUUUUUUCCCUCCAUCCAAGACUCUGGCUGAGGUUGUCUGAAGGAUGCCGAGGAAAAAGACCUAAGGACUGGGAGCUCUCUUACCCCAAGAUAGAUUAUGAGAGGUAUGAGCAAGAAAUUUGAAAUAACACAAGAUGAGAUUGCCUUUUGAUUGUUGAAUUUCAAGAUCAACACAAAAUUGGUACAAGGAUAUGCAAAGUUAUCUUCAAAGAACAGAUAAAUUCCUGUGCAGCAGGGUUUGACAUAAACUAAUUGAAGAUUGCUGGAUUUUAUUUCACUGCUUACUUCUUCAAGCUGGUGGAGUGCAUUCUUUAAGAGCUACCUGAGAAAGACUAGGAAAAGCUUUUUUUCUUUAUAAUUGUGACAAAAUCGUUCUAUGGAGAAACAAGCUUUCAGUCACCAAGGUAAAAUAAUCAAGAAACAGGAGACUCGAGCAAAUGUAACAGAGAAGCAUCUCUGACUUCUAUACUUAUCAAAUAAAACAAAUUUUACACAAUAGAAGAAUGCAAGUCUAUAUUUUCUGGAAAGCUUGGAACACUUUUGUGGUAUUUGAGAUGAUACAUAAAGUGGUCUUUGAGUUACAAAGGGUAAAAGAAAAUCCUCUAAUUACAAACUGACAAAGGCAAAAGCUUUGGAGCAGCAGUGUCUCUUUGGUCUGCAUCGGAACUACCAUUCCUAUUGGUGAAGUGCUCAUCAUCAGAUCUUUGCCUAUCAUUGGACAUCUUGUGAAGUUAUUCUUGAAAAAUUUGUGCACCUGUCCUGCUCAUGCACUCCUACAGUGUGAGGGUGGGAGAGAGAAGAAAACCCCUUAAGGUCUACAGGUUGGACUCAGUUGGAAUCAGCUCUUACUCAGUCGGAAUCAGCUCUUAUUGUGAAAGCAGCUUAAGCUGACAGAGUCAGUUACUUCAGGUUUUCUUUUUAAGAGUCUCUGGUGCUAUGCAUAUAUCUUGUCUUUUCUGUUUUUCUCACUUGCUUGCUUUAUAACUCCUCAUUGCAUUACUGUCUUGUUAUUGAUUAUAUACCAUUAUCUGCAUCUGCAAUUUUUUUUUUCUUUAGGGCCACUCCCGUGGCAUAUGGAGGUUCCCAGGCUAGGGGUCUAAUCGGAGCUGUUGCCGCCGGCCUACACCAGAGCCACAGCAGCGCCAGAUCUGAGCCA